rnacentral:lncRNA from 1 species
AGAAUCCUUACCCUGGCUGUUUUGUAUAAACUUGCUCCAUGUAAGCAGCCAGGGAACUCAAUACUUUUAGAAAGGAAAGAGAUUAGGUGGAGAAACUCUUCCACACCUUUCCGGUUCCAGGUGAAGAACUUUGGACCCAUGGAGGCCAUUUGUUCUUUUUGUGUUCAUACCUUGAGUUAUCAGCAAAUUCCUAAGCAGAGAUCAGUUUUGUGCUCUUCACUGAGAAGUUGCUGUGCCACUCUGAAAGUGAGUAGCAUUUCAGUUAUAGUCACCUGUGGAAUACAGUUCUAUAAUGUAAAUAUGUACAUAUACAUGAAUAUGAGACAAUUAAUCCUUUUAGUCUCUAACCGAUAUAAUGUUAUAAAGAAAUGACAGAAAUAUUUUUCUCUAUCCUGAAAGAGAAGACUCCUCACUAUAAAGCAUUCUGAAAUAUGGUAGACCUUGGCCAUCCA